rnacentral:rRNA from 1 species
GUGGGGAAUAUUGCACAAUGGGCGAAAGCCUGAUGCAGCAACGCCGCGUGAGGGACGACGGCCUUCGGGUUGUAAACCUCUUUUAGUAGGGAAGAAGCGAAAGUGACGGUACCUGCAGAAAAAGCACCGGCUAACUACGUGCCAGCAGCCGCGGUAAUACGUAGGGUGCAAGCGUUAUCCGGAAUUAUUGGGCGUAAAGAGCUCGUAGGCGGUCUGUCGCGUCUGCUGUGAAAACUGGAGGCUCAACCUCCAGCCUGCAGUGGGUACGGGCAGACUAGAGUGCGGUAGGGGGGAUUGGAAUUCCUGGUGUAGCGGUGGAAUGCGCAGAUAUCAGGAGGAACACCGAUGGCGAAGGCAGAUCUCUGGGCCGUAACUGACGCUGAGGAGCGAAAGCGUGGGGAGCGAACAGGAUUAGAAACCCCAGUAGUCC